rnacentral:rRNA from 1 species
UACAGAGGUCCCAAGCGUUGUUCGGAUUCACUGGGCGUAAAGGGUGCGUAGGCGGUCGGGUAAGUCUGACGUGAAAUCUCCGAGCCUAACUCGGAAACUGCGUCGGAUACUAUUCGGCUAGAGGAAUGGAGGGGAGACUGGAAUUCUCGGUGUAGCAGUGAAAUGCGUAGAUAUCGGAAGGAAGACCAGUGGCGAAGGCGGGUCUCUGGACAGUUUCUGACACUGAGGCACGAAGGCGAGGGGAGCAAACGGG